GUGCUCACUUCCGCAGCACAUAUGGUACUAAAAUUGGAGUGAUACAGAGAAGGUUAGCAUGGCCCCUGCACAAAGGAUGAGAUGGAGAUUCUUGAAGUAUUCCAUAUUUUU